rnacentral:rRNA from 1 species
UACGUAGGUGGCAAGCGUUGUCCGGAAUUAUUGGGCGCAAAGCGCGCGCAGGCGGUCCUUUAAGUCUGAUGUGAAAGCCCACGGCUCAACCGUGGAAGGUCAUUGGAAACUGGGGGACUUGAGUGCAGAAGAGGAAAGUGGAAUUCCAAGUGUAGCGGUGAAAUGCGUAGAGAUUUGGAGGAACACCAGUGGCGAAGGCGACUUUCUGGUCUGUAACUGACGCUGAGGCGCGAAAGCGUGGGGAGCAAACAGG